ensembl:snRNA U6 U6 spliceosomal RNA
GCUCACUUUGGAAGCACAUACUAAAAUUGGAGCCAUACAGAGAUGAGCAUGGCCCUGUGAAGGAUGACAUGAAAUCUGUGAAGCAUUCUUUUU